rnacentral:lncRNA from 1 species
GCAUAAAGGAGACUGGACUGCAAAACAGAACUGUGUGCAAAGGGAAUUUGUUGAAAUAAACAGGCUGCACCCUCUGGGACAGAGAAGCAUGGUCACCUGGGAAGGAGAGAAAAGGGAGCUUGGGUCACUCCAGUAUCAGCAGCCAGCUCAGAAAUGUAGACCUGCACAAAAUAAUACCCAGGCAGCUAUGAGAAUAUCUGUUGCAGCCAAGAGGGCACCCUGCCUUCUCUUUUCAUAUCCAGUGAAGACUGUCCCUCUCCGUGACACCAUGGCUGGAGGAAGUGGAUACACCGUGCCUGCUGCAUCUGAGGGCUGAAAUGCAAGAUCUUCAAAGUCUCCCUCUGAUGCCGAGCCGAGGCUGGACUGUACUGCCGCCAUCUCCGCUCACUGCAACCUCCCUGCCUGAUUCUCCUGCCUCAGCCUGCCGAGUGCCUGGGAUUGCAGGCGCGCGCCGCCACGCCUGACUGGUUUUUGUAUUUUUUGGUGGAGACGGGGUUUCGCGGUGUUGGCCGGGCUGGUCUCCAGCUCCUGACCGCGAGUGAUCUGCCCGCCUCAGCCUCCCGAGGUGCCGGGAUUGCAGACUGAGUCUCGCUCACUCAGUGCUCAAUGUUGCCCAGGCUGGAGUGCAGUGGCGUGAUCUCGGCUCGCUACAACCUUCACCUCCCAGCCGCCUGCCUUGGCCUCCCAAAGUGCCGAGAUUGCAGCCUCUGCCCGGCCGCCACCCCGUCUGGGAAGUGAGGAGCGUCUCUGCCCGGCCACCCAUCGUCUGAGAUGUGGGGAGCGCCUCUGCCCCGCCACCCAUCGUCUGGGAUGUGGGGAGCGCCUCUGCCCCGCCACGACCCCGUCUGGGAACUGAGGAGUGUCUCUGCCCGACCGCCACCCCGUCUGGGAGGAGUCUCCAGGAGGUGUCUCCAUGUGCUGCUCCCAGUCCUGCUGGCCACGCCCUGCCCCACUGGUCAUCACAGUUCAUCCAGAUCCUCCUCUAAGAUACAAGAGAAUGACUCACUUCUUCCAGUUAGAUGUGGGAAACUUACACUUGUCCUAUGAGUUCUGGACUGUUUGUUCAGCUACUUACAAACGCCAUUUCGUUACAGCAGCCACGGGGAAGCAGUGGAUGAGAAGCAGGAAUAAUAUAGGC